ensembl:lincRNA
CGCGCCCCUGCGCUGGUACCGGGCGCAGCCUGCAGGCUCCAGGCAGCAUCCGGGGCCUUGGUUCUUGCCGGGAGAAACCGUCCGCAGACCUCAGUGCCAGGAACAUCCUGGACACCCUGUUCCCCAGCUUCCACUUCAUCCUACGUGUAGCAGAGAAGAAAGAGCUGUAUGGGGAGGAAGGACAGUAAAUAUUCGAGGGAUAGAAAAGGAGGUACAAAAAAGAUGGCAUGCUGUGCAGACAUUUACUGCAGACCGAAUGGACAGGAGGCGAGUAGGAGCUUGGCGCAUCUGUGGAACAGAAGGAAAAGCAGCACGGCUGAGUGCGGUCCUCCAGCGGGCAGCGAUGGCGUCUGAGGUCAGAGGACCCCGGUGGUGCGGAGGGAGUAGCUGGCGGUGGUGGAGAAGCAGCGCUGGGGAGCGAGAAGACAGGGGAAGUGCGAAAUGGUUAUUCUGAAGACGAGGAAGGAGAGAGAAGGAUCCUGGAGGCAAACCUGAUCACCCCACCGGGGCUUCCCCUCGCCCUUACGCUCGGCAUCCUCCGUCCGGUCCCCGGGGCCGAGCCUCCUCCGCUCCCCGCCUAGAACCAGACCGGAACCAGGGUGAGGCUCGUAGAAGCUGACGCGCAGGAGCGACGAUCGCCCCUCCCUGCAAAAUGCGAUGAAGCGCAAAGACAGCAGCAAACCACACGACAAAUGCAAAUUCUGGUUUUUCACACAGUGACCACUUCGAUGCUUUAAAAAGAAACGAUCGCAAAUAUAAUUCUUAAAAAAAAGAAAAAUGUUUUCUCUGGGAUGGCCUUGUGUUGCCGGCACCUGCAUCACUUCCCCGCGAAGCCUCCCUCAGCUCCUUGCCCGUGGACGGGCGCCCGGUUCCGAGGGCUGGCAGCACCGGCCACAUGGUGAUUAAAUAACGAUACAGUCCUCUGUUUCCCGUCAGCAUCUCGUGGCGCUUGUGCCUGGGGAGGACAGAAAUGGCCUAUCUCGCUUACUCUGUCCCCAGCGCCCAGCACAACCAGGCAGUGACGAAAGCCCACCCGUAGGUGCUGUUGCAACUGAACCGCCCGGGGCACAUGCCCCGAGCCGAGGGACCUUGUCUCACAUAGCACGCGCUCACCAAACAUCUGACACAGAAAUGAGUGCGCCAGCGCCUCCCCCUUGGCUCACACGGCGAGUCGUGCAGAACCGUGAGAAAGGAAUGACAUAAUCCUGUGUGUGCUUUCAGUUGACUCCAAGCGAAAAUCUUAAUCUCCCCAGAAUUUAAUAGUUUUCGAGUCUCGGUAGGCAUAUGAAAUUCGGGGAAGCCACGCGCUUUGAGUUUUCACCACAGUUCAAAUCACUGUGCUCCGCGUAAGAUGGAAUUUGUAUUUCUUGAUCAGUAUGUGGCCUCAGGCUCUCAAAAGAAAAACACAGUGUUUCACACUGAAGACACCAUAACUCCACAUCUGAGCGGAACUGUUCCUCUCCUCUCCGGAGGAAGUCUUUGAAAAGAAGUCAUUGAAAUUAGUGACCUCGCAGAUAAACAAAGCUACCCUAGACUUAACCCUCAUUACCGGGCGCAUGAGGCGUGCACCCCCUGUUGUCUGGGAAGCCUCCCAGGACGUGACUGUCCUUCCAGCUGCGAGUCCCCCCAGGCGCAGGCCCUUCUCCAGCUGCAAAACCGUGUCCUCUGCCGACCCACUCCAGCGUCGAGACACGGCCUCCGGGACAUGUUGAAGGAGUAAAUUACCGGGGACUUCAGCGCGCUCUUUAACCACCACUUGCUUGCGAGAGGCUGACAGUUGUGAGCUGGUGCACUUCCGAGUGACCUUGUCAGAUGUUCCGGCAUGACAGCGGAGGAAGAUCUAAGCAGCCGAGGGGCCGCGCAGCCGGCACAGGGAGCGCGGGGGCACCGGGGCAGUGGCGAGGCGACAAGGAGUUGACGCGCACCUGAAGGGAGCCCCACAGGCACGGAAAACGAGUCCUCUGAAGAUUUCCCCUUUAGGUUUCUCUGCGAUUUUGCAGAGCCCCGGCUGGCUGUCCCUCACCUGGGAAGUUAGCGCUGCUCCUGGGCAGAAGCUAUAUCAUAAGGGGAUGAAGCGAGCUUGGGGACAGAAAUGACUCCCCAGGGCUGCUGCCCGUUUUCUCACCGCGGGACUCGACUUCAGAGAUCACACGGGGAGAGUGUUUUCAUGCCGCUCCUGGGAAAAGUCUAACCUUGUUUCUGAUUUUGAAAAGAAAAAUCCUCAUACUCAUUGCCCGUCUCAGAGAGGUGGGGAAACCCAAAAGUUCUCAUUCCGGCUUAGGGACCAAAACACCUUCAUUUCCCAUUUGGGUUGAACGAGCAAUUUUCAACCUAAAGAAACCGAUUAGAUUUAAAACAAGGAUAAGAUGGACUCAUCAUGAACUGAGCCUUUCUUCUCUUUCCCUUGGGAUACAAGGUUAAAAUACAGAUCUGCCAGGCUGCUAAGUAACCCCUCUUGUCGUGUUUUAGGACUCCCCUAGUGGAGACCCAGCAAAGGGGGCACCAUCAGAAGGAUAACAGCACAUCUCCCAUGCAAGGGAGGAAGUCAAAGAGCUACUCAUGCUCAGCCGUGUCCCUCCAAGGCUACGACCACUGGACCAGGCAAUCUAUGGCUAUUUUGAUGGUUCUUGGUUUUAAAACACUUUGUCAUUUGUGAUAUUAAUUCCUCCUACAUUUUCAGCUCUGAGUUGAGGGGACACUGGAGCAGUCCUGUAUCAUGGCUUUAAAGUCACUCAAAUAAAACAUUUAUGACUUUCCGGUUAUAGCACUUCAAAACACUCUGUAAUGGUCAAGGGCAAUCUAAAAAUAAAUCAUUGUUCAAACAGUCUUAGUUUUGGAAGGAAGUGCCACCCCAGGAAGCGGGGGUGGCGUGGUAUCCGUGAGCACAUUCUAAUGCUGUGGAAUCCCACGGCAUCACAGCUUGUUACAAGGCUGAUGCUGGACACAGAACACGCCUUCGAUAAGCACUUGCAAAAUCUGCUCUGAUUAGAUAGACGGUGGGCCCAGUCAUGUCCUGUUGCACCUGGUGUGCACAGAGCAAGCUUCAAAUGCAGCUGUCCCAGGAGUGGGCUUGGGGCAACCCCCCCACAUCAGGGGUAAGGCCCAGCUGGUCUCCCAUCCUGAAUUUUCCUCCAGCAAAUAGUCCCCACCUGCUGGAGCUACCAAAAUUAAGGAUUUUUAAACACUAAUAGGAUAAUUGUACACAUUAUAAUUGAAUGAUGGACAAAUUAACGGAAUGAUUUGUUAUCUCAAUAAAUAUUUCUAAUCGAAAUCUCUGAUAGUACUCUUAUUUACUAAAAAACAUUAAUGACCACAUAAUUUGUGUUAAAUUGUGCCAUUUUAUGGAGCAUAAUAAAAGGCUGUAUUUUUAUUCACAUGGGUGACCUUGUAUACUGCUUGACAAAGCUAAUCUCCUGCCCAGGAUGUAUAAAAUUAAUAUACCUUAAGGCAGAAAGUUAUUAGCAUCUAACUCAGAUAAUGCAGGCCGGUUGAAUAUAAUGUCCAAAAACCAGAUAUGGUUUAAAAACAAAACAUAAAAAACAUGCUACUAACAUUCAGGUGACAGACAAAAUAAUAUGUGCCGAUUGUAUUUUUAUUUAGUUUAUUUUGAGUGGAGUUAAAUUUAAAACUAAACAGAGAAAAGCAAUGAAAGAAAAUCAACAUAGUAAAAAGUACCUACUAUGAGUAUAUUAAAAUACACUACUCAAUAGCAAAAUUUAGGGAGGUUAUAUUUGCUUCUGAAGUUCUUACUAUCACCAGAAAGGAAUUCUUUCUCCCUUAAUCUAUUUUUCGCUGAAUGACUUUACCCAAGCAGUUCUGACUUAUUCUACUGAUCAAACAGGCUGAGCAAGAUAAUUAUCUAUGCAUGGAUGCUUUGGAGUAAAAGACAUCUCAGGAGUAGUUCAACUUUCUAAUUUUUAAAAAACAAAGGGGGCAAAAGAGAGGGGGGGAAAGGAGCAACAGUGCUUAAUACACAACUAAUGAAAUGCUAAUGUGCACAAAUGAGUUUUGAAAGAACACAAAUAUUGCUUUGAAAUUAAUUAUACCUCUCCCAUUGUCUUAAAAAAUGGAAGAUUGAAACCUGUAUCUCGAUGUUUACUCUGUUUAAUUUUCAAUUGUUUCUUUGAUGUUUCAGAUAGAAAGGUUUGCACCUGCAAAGAAAAAAGGCUUUGAACAGAUUGCAAACACUCCGCAAACACUUCAUCAGGAAUGUUAGUUGUCAGCCUCCCCCUAGCACAAGGGAGUCUUGAUGAUAUCUUUGUGUGCCUUUGACUCCUUUUGAUUAAUAAAUGCAAACAAUUUUUCUCAGUAACCUCUGCUGCAAUCUAUGCAUGACAAUUAGGGACAACCUCUGGUGAAGGGAUGCACUGAAGUCUGUUUUUGCUUCCUCUGCUGCAAAAUAAAUAGUUGAUGUUUAAUGCUUUUUGACAAUUAGAGAAUGAAAUCUCUCUGCAGCUAUGCAAUUUCAGCAACUGUUUAUUAUUUCUGUUCCCUGCAAUGAAGGAUCAAUGUUUAUGACAAUUUUAACUCCACUCUGGGUGGACAAUUUGAUUAUUUCUUUCCCUGAGUUUCAUGUCCUAUUAUUGAAUUCCUGGGUGCAAAUAUCAUUGGCUUUUCACAAAAUGGAUGUGUGAUGUUUCCAUCAAAACAAUCUAUUCAAUGGGCAUUAUGAGGAAGCCAAGUGUGACUCUCAUGAAAUAUUCCAGCAUUGCUUUCCAGGG